GCUCUCUAAAGAAACUCUUGAGCAGCUGGUUUCAGUGGUGUAUGAAGCACAGGAUGAUGAACUGACGCGCUGCUUUCUGAAGAAGGUUUCUGAGGAUCUGACUUCCUGCUCACUGACCUGGGAAGUGAUUCAUUACCUGCUGCAACAUCAAGCUCUAAACCUGAAGUUGGACUUUAGAAAGAGCAAAAUCUCUUUUGAAAACAUCAGAGAACUUCUGCCGGUGUUAGACAGAAUCCAGCUGAAACGGUAAAAGAAAUGAUAGAACUGCUCAGUUUGUACACAAUUUGUCAUAAAACCUAGAAGAGAAUUGCUAAUUUAGAGCCACAAGUUCUCCCUGGAAUUUCAAAUGUUUAUUAAACCUUGUUUUACUCGAUUUAUAUGUAAACUAAGGUAUGUUGUUAACACUGGAAGGUACUUUCUGGUUUUAUUUUACAACAUAAAUAAUACACCAUCAUGCCACAAAUGUGAGUUUUGAAACCAUUGUGCCCUUUGCUAACAAGUUGCUACAAGAACUACAACAGUUGUCCGAUUUGUCAAGCAUAUUAAACAUCCUUGUGUUGGUUGUAGUCCUAUGAAGUUUAGUAAACUUGAAUAUCCCAUGGCAAAAUAGCCUUCCAGGUGAGCCUACAAACUGACAUCUUAACAGUUGCAUCCAUUGACAUAAUUGAAGAUACUUGUAAUUUACAGUUCAGUUUGGGAUUUGUAUUUACUGAGUGCCUUUAAUUCAAGUAGAUUUCAUUGAGUGAUCUUCUUCUCCACAGGAUGAGCCCCAGCUUCACUCUGUCCAUCAUCAUGGAGAUUUACGAGACUCGCUUUCCUCAGUACGUGUCCAGUCUGUCGAGUUUGGUGAAGAAUUAUAUCAACCUGAAUGGCCGAGUGUUGGACUCUGUUCACUGCGCUGCCCUGCGCUUCACUCUGCAGCACUGCAACACUGUCAAACUCAAUCUGCUCUGGACCUCCAUACCAGCAGAGGAGCUCCAGAGCUUUCUGCCUUUACUCAGCAGAGUCACACAACUCAGUGUUGACAGGCUGCUGUUGCUGAAGCUGCUUCGUUGCUGCAGUUCCUCUGAUCUCCAGCAGGAGGCAGCAGAUGUUCUUCUCUCUGCUCUUCACUACAGACUGGACUUCUCCUGCUGCUCUGCUCUGGAUUUAACAGACACACUGGAAAACCAAGAACAUUUGAAACUAACUGAAAAAGACUGUAGAAUAAUCUCAUCUGUGCUUCAGAAAACUCAGAGUGUUGUGAAAUUAAUUUUACAGGACUGUGAAAUUUCUGAUACAGCUUUGAAACAACUUUGGCCAAUCCUGCCUCAAGUCCAGCUGAGCUGCAGUAAAGCUCUGCUGCUGCAGUUUCUGGCUUGUAUUAGUAAAGAUGGAUCUCAGAGAGGCUCUUUGAGGAGCGCUGAGGCUCUUUCACAGGCUUUGGGAGGAGAGAUGGACCUCAGUCACACUCAGAUGGACCCGAGAGCUUGUGAACAGCUGGCGCUGUUUCUGGAAUAUUCUGAAGGACUGACAGAACUGGAUCUCAGUCACUGCAAACUCACUGAUCUCUGCAUGGAGCCGCUGCUGCCACAUCUGCACAAAACCCAGACCCUGGACCUGAGUCACAAUAUCACAGAUGAAUCAGCAAAGAGAAUCCACAGUGUCGUCUUCACUCACAGCAAUCUUUAGACUGUACGACUCUUCGGAAACAAAAUCAGUGAUAGAAAGCAGUUCAUCAGAGACAAGCGAUUUGAAAUAUGGUGAAGAUCCUGGGCCAGAACCUCACUGAUUUAACAUUAAGAGGGUAUUUUGUGUAAGGCUUGAUCCGUGAUGAAACAAUUGACAAUCACUUUGCAGAGCACUAAACAGUGUUCUGUGUAGAAGUUUAUUUUUAUGAUUCAUUUAAAAUAAUAUCUUCAUAUCUGAACCAGAUUUAUUUAGCUAUGAUAGCUAUGAUAUGAUGUAUAUUUUGCAAUGUGUUAGCCAAGAGUUAUGGUUUGGGUAUGUAGUAUACUAGGUGUGGAUCUGUCUUCACUGGUUACCGUUCACCGCUCACAUCAAGUUCAAGACAAAUCGACCUCCACUCCUGCUGUUGGUGGGUGAGCAACACCUUGUGUUUCUGUAACAUGAUGGCACUAAGUCACUUUCCGAAACAUUCCUGUUCACCGUUCCUUGCUGGUGGAAUGAUCUUCCCGAUCUUACCCGAACAGCCUCAAGAAACGGAGAUUCAAGGGAAAAACUUAACUGUGGAUGUUGACUGGAAAAAUAUUUAUAUGCUUUAUAUUACCGUUACUGUUAUUACCUCCAGAGGAUGAAUAUCUUUGCUAAACUCCUGAUUUUUUUUUUUCAUUUGCUUUGGUUAAACGCAACAGCUAAAUGAAUUUAUAUUCCAGUAAUCUGUCUCUUAAUAGAUGUAAUCGAGCUGUAAGAAAGCUGUGGGUGUUAUCAUGGUUAUGUUUUUUAUUAUUAUUAUGGUUAUGGUUUUCAUACUGUAAAUGCACAUUUACAACAAUAAACCUUGUUUAUGUCUUUAUAUUCUAUAAGGUUUUAAUGACAUGAUAUUGUGAAGCAAUUUUACUUAAACUUUAACCAGCACUGAUUCAAAAAGUGUACCAUAGUAAGUCAGACUGACACAAGUAUGAUUAUUCAAUAAACGCUGUAAAUUACUUCGUCUCCUGCUUUUUUCUCUCCAGCCUUGCUCCUUUAGGACUUGUAGAAAAACUAAUAUGACAAUGUUGACUGAUGUCAUGUCAUGAUGUUCCUCAGUGUUUACCCUUAAACAAUGUAUAUGGACUAUAUCAAUAAAGAACAUAUUCCACCGCGUGGCUCGUUGGUCUAGGGGUAUGAUUCUCGCUUAGGGUGCGAGAGGUCCCGGGUUCAAAUCCCGGACGAGCCCUAAGCUUUUAUUUGUUUUUUUUUCCUCUCACUCUUUUACAAAAUAGUGGAUUAGUUAACACAAAAAUGUUUUACAGUUGUAUUUGUUUAUUGAAAUUUAGAUUGUAAUGAAGGUAAAAAUCCACCGACUUAUGUUACAAUACUUCACCAUGAAUCAGUGUGCACAGUGUUAGCGUUUACUGAACUGAACGGCGCCACGGUCAGUUGUAAGUAACGGCCUGUUCCCCACCAACACGGUAAUAUGAUUAUGCUGAUAAAAUACGUAGGAACAAAAAUAACUUAUUCAUGACCCCGACGUGAUUUGAACACGCAACCUUCUGAUCUGGAGUCAGACGCGCUACCGUUGCGCCACGAGGUCUCACGACUAAUACAUUGAAAAUAACAGCCUUUUAUAAAUAAGUAUUGAGAAAUAUGUUGCUUACGUUCCAUAUAAUAAAAUUGAAAUAAUUUGUAGAAAAACAGGCAAG
rnacentral:lncRNA from 1 species